UACAGAGGUCCCAGGCGUUGUUCGGAUUCACUGGGCGUAAAGGGUGCGUAGGUGGUCGGGUAAGUUUGAUGUGAAAGCUCCGGAGUCUUAACUCGGAAAUUGCAUUGAAUACUAUUCGGCUAGAGGGUUGGAGGGGGGACUGGAAUUCUCGGUGUAGCAGUGAAAUUCGUAGAUAUCGGGAGGAACACCCAUGGCGAAGGCAGCUCUCUGGGUUUCACCUGACACUGAGGCGCGAAAGCGUGGGGAGCGAACGGG
rnacentral:rRNA from 1 species